UGCUGAGUGCAGCUGUCCGGCCUCAGCUGUCUGGCGGUUGGGUCCGACCACCAGGACGGGGUGUUAUUCUCGUUCCUCACCGGCCUCGAGAUGUUCUUGUAAGGUGUGCUCCCUGUCUGGGCCGAUGAUACAUCCUUGAGGUGUUCUUGUCCGGUGUCCUCCCUGUCUGGGACAUCCUGUUCCACAACACUUCGAAGAAAACAACUUUGUGCAGUUGCCUGCACAUUCCUUACCACCCACCAUGCGACUACACGAGCACAGCCACUACUGGAAAUUAUAUUGAUAUGAUUAUAUAUAAGUCUAACGCAGCCUCAAUAAAAUAUGUUUGCAAACUGCCGAAAGCACA